rnacentral:lncRNA from 1 species
UUGAUUGACAUAUUUAACGUAGUUGUGUUUUCUAGGGGUAUAUUCAUAGUCUUUACACUGCAUAUUAAAGAUGCAUACUUUAUGUACAGUGGUAAGCAGUCAAAAUUCAUCACUGCUGGACAAACAUAAAGAAUUAAUAUAAAAUAAUUAGUAAUUAAGAUUAUAGUCAAUCAAAUUUAAGCUAAUAAUUAGAGCAGAAUAUAUAUUGUAUCUUUUAGAAGUUACAUGUACAGUCAUAAGUAUUACACUUACGAAUAAAUCAUUAAAAAAAAC